GAACAAGAUCUCUCCAAUGUAAGGUCUGCCUGUCCAUCCUGCCUCCAGCGUUACCAUCUGCCAUCUAACCGCAAAUGCUUUAAUUUCAUGAUUUUGGAAAGACUUCCACAAUGUAGAUGGAAAAUUUUCAAAGAAAGAAGAAAUACCAGUUCUUUGAUGAAGAAGGGAUUAAGGCAAUAAUGAAAGGAAAUUGAGAUUCACUCUGCAGUAUGUCUGCCUGUGCUAGCAUUGCAAAUAUUCACAAGCAGAGUUGGGGGUGUUUUCAAAUGGUUGCAAAUCCUCAGCCCAUGUGAUAAAAGAUGCUGACAUUAAUAUUCUGGUGUGCAAGCUAAUUCCUUCAGCCAGCUGUGAGGCUGAGGCUCUGCGGACCGAGAAAAGCGAUUCCCACAUUCAAGCUGCUGUAUCGGACUUAUUGAGCUCUUCACUCUUUGAGAUCACUGUGAUUUACUAGAUACUGCCAAGAAAAUAUUCUAAUGUGUCAUAUUUACUCAUGUUCAUAAAUCUAUGUGCAUGCUACCUUCAACAAAGAUAUUUCUUACAUUACGCAUUACACACAUAAACGUACGUCUUCGUCGAGGAACAAUAAACGAUGAAUGUUUCUCUAAUAGCCAUAGAUGAAGCAGAAUAAAGGAAAAAGUGGCAAAAUCAAAAAGGAUGCUAGUGUCUGGAAAUAAGGACAAGGUACAAAGAGUUCUUUUAGGUCAAGGUACAAUGAAUUACCAUAAUCAAGGCCAAAUUAUUCCAUUAGCAGAAAAUGGGUUUGAUUCUACUCCUGCCCUAACCCCAGGAAGGAGAAAAGAGAGGGAAGUGGAGAAGAGUCGACCAGCUGGAGACCUAUGAAAGCAAAACAUCAAAACAACCAACAACCAUGAGGGUGACCACCAGCCAAUCCGAAGGAACACAGCUAUCGAUGAGGACUGAUGGAUAGCCACUGGUCAAGGAGAGCACAGCCUCACAGAGCAGCACAGCGGGCUAAGGCUGCACCGACAACAGGAACUUUACAGUAGGGCCAAGAAUGAGCAAUCACAUGUAAAGAAUGGCAAAGGAAAAGAAAAGGCAAGCAGGUGAGAUGUGAUUUCUUAUACCCUUGGCCAAACAGAAAGACCAACUACUUGCCUAAGUCAUCAGUGAAAAGGACCAGAAAAAACACUAACGGUCAACAAAAGAGGAAAUAAAUGGAUGAAUGGUAGAAAAGAGUACUGAUACUCUCUUCUGGAUGUCAUCUGGAGAAAAAUGCUAAAUACCUCAUGCCCACUGGAAUUCCAUAUCAGUGGCAACUGCAAAGGAAGUGUGGAAUCACAGAUCAACACAACCAUGGAAAAGAGAAGAGUAGAGGGUAGUGAUAAAGUCCACACUCAGGAACUUGAGAUCUUCUACUAGGCCUCUGUGUCUGAGACUUCUUGCACGACCGUAGAACAGUUGAUGACAAAUAUUUUGGUGAGGUGGUAUCUCAUCUAAAUCCAUGCUGCCACUACCCUGUGAUUACCCACCUCUGCUACCUGAUACUGGAGCUCGGCAUAAAACACAAACCCGGAAACACCUUGUUCAGUGGAUUGUCAUGGAGAGAGACCCCCAAAGGCACGUCCAAUGGAAAGAAACAGACAUCAAGGUCAAUAUUAAUCAUUGGAACUAAAUGCAUAAAAAUCAGGAACAGUUUAACUGCAUACCCUGAACAUAGCAGGUGUUCCUGAUUGGUGGAGAGUCAUCCAUGAAGUGAUUCAGUGAUCCAGGCUUUUUGCAUCUGGGACAUCACCUUCCUCUAGACUUCAACUCUUCUGCAUCCAGAAAGCAGAUGGGGAAAGAGGGAGUGAAAUAAGCAUUCAUGCAUUUAAGCUCCUUGGCUCAGAAAUGAUAUUUAUAACUUCCGCUCUUGUUCUAUGGCUAGAACAAGUGACAUGAACCGCAGCUGGACAAGAGAGGAUGGUGCCAAGAAAUAAUCCCCUCCUGGGCAGAUGUUUUUCAGUGCAACUCUAUUCUAUGGAAGAAGAAGACAAUGCUAUAAGCCAGUAAGGAGACUCUCCAGGACUCAAAACAGAUAGAUGACUUUAAGUCCAGUGUUCUUGCUACCACAACACACCACCUAGGCAUCCAGAGUUGGCUCAGCUUGCUUCAAAACACUUGAACUAGCGCCUGACCUAACACUGUAGGUAGUAUGGGACAGGGGAUUGUCACCAAUGGGAAGAAUACUUGAACAGACCGAUGAGGAGAACCAGGCUUAAGCCAGGCUGUGCCAUAUCUGACUGAAUAAAUCAUGA